UAAGUUUAGAUGUCUAAAACAUUCAUUUAAAGUGAAACUAUAACUAUUUGAAUAUAAUAAAAAUAUUCAAUAAAAUAUUUUAUUUUCUUAUAAAACAAUAUUUAUAGAGUUACCGGUAAAUAAUUUUUGUAGCGUAAAAGCUAAAUAAAUUCAUACCUACUGUAAUACAGAUAACCAAAGCAUAAGAUUUAAUUUACAGUGACAUGUGGGCCCACGAACGACCAAAAGUAAUGAAGGCUAUGAACCUACAGCUUUUGAGGAUGCAAGUCCAACUGUAGCCUUCAACGAAAUGAGCUAUCUACUAACUAUCCUGAGCCUGAAAUGGGUGGAAAAGAAGGUGGUGAGAUUAUAUAAUCCUAGUGAGUAAACAAAUACCAUCUAAAAUAUCUAAAGCUGAGUAAAUGGAGACAGAUUAAAAUAGAUUAUCAUAUUGUAAUUCAUCACCUUUCAACUCAUUUCAACCAAAUAAAAUCAAUUCAUAUAAAUUGAGUAAUCAACAUGGCUUAUGAAUUUCUUAAAACUUUGGCUCGUGCCAAAAUCAUUCUCAUACUUAGUUAUCAGAGAUACCUUGGCCGAGGGCUAUCCCAAUCAAGUUCGUCAAGGCUGUUAAAAAUUUCGUAUACUCAAAAACAUAUUUUUAUUUUGAAAACAUAACCGUUCCUUGGCGUUGGCUGAGUUCACCCUCACGUGGUGGUUUGGCGUGACGUGAACUCUAAAGUGUUAACCUCAGAAGUUAUCCAUCCGCGCCUCUCAUACUGAGGUAUGAAUAUAAUAGGGUUACUGUGCCCCCUCUAAUAGGUUGGUCCACGAAACCCGUCCACUGCAGCAACUAAUCAAUAACCCAACAAUUCAAUAAAAUUUAACAGCAUGACAUGGCAAUUUUAUCGUUAUCCAGCCUAUCAAGGCAAAUAACAGUUUAUUCAUUUUCAACACAAAUACAAAUUCAGCCAUUCAUGCCAAUAUUGCCAUAAGCCAAUCAAUUAGAACCAUAAAUUCACAAUACAUCAAAUGGUCUCCAAUUACUCUAUUUUCAAAGCCAUCAUUCAAUUUCAAGACAAUUUAUAAAAUCAUUUCAUUUAAACACAUUUUGUUUAUAAAACAUAAAGAUUUACCAUUUACACUCAUUUUUCUAUCAAAUCACAAAAACGAUUAAAAACUACUUUAGAUAAUUAAGACGAUAGUAAGGUUACUCACUAUUUCGGGAGUCGAAUUCCAAGUACUUUGAUUCUUGAUCCUCAGGUACUAUCUCUUUACUUUUGCCAGAAUGCUCACCACCUAGACAUAAUGCACAAUAAGCCAUUUACUACAUUUGUGCUAAAUUGUUAUAAAACCAAUUCAGGCUCUAUACUAAUGCAUGAAAUGGGAUGCAAAUUGUUCGGAUUAUCGUCUAAACACGGUGCUCUACACAAAUUCAAUUGUGUACCUAAAUAAAACGGUAUUGGCCUAAUUCGAUCUAUCACUCGAUUAAUUGGCCAAUAUGUCCAAUUUAACUCCAAACAAUUCCAUUUUUCUUCUAAUUCUCCAAAUCAUCAAACACAAAUUAAAUAACUUGAAAUAUGGCAAAAUCAUCCUCACAUUUUCUCUUGGAAAAUUCAGCCAUGGUGGGUGCAUCAAUACUACAAUUUUUCCUACUGAUUCUCACACCAUAAAUCACUAAUUCCUAACCAAAUCACUUGAAAUAAAAUCAAAAUCAUCAUUAAUAUUCCACAUGGAAAAUUCGGCCAAUGAUGGGUGAUGGAAGAACAUGAAUUUUUCUUGCUUGAUUUUCAUGCUACACAUCACCAAUCAACUAAAAACACUAAAAUACAUUGAAAUCUAACCAAAUCAAGCAUCAAAACCUCUCUCUAAGUGUUCAGCCAGAAAGAUACCCAUCAUGAAAUCAUGUGAUUCAACCAUGAAAAAUGCAAAAGAAUGCAUGGGAAAGGUAGAUCACAAGUCAAAAUCAAGAAAUUUUACCUUUGAUUGCUUAAUUACUUGAAAUCCACCAAUUUUCUCUUGAAUUUUCACCCUAGGGUUCUUGUUCUUUCUUUUCUUCCUUUGUUCUUGCUUUGGCCGGC
rnacentral:lncRNA from 1 species